UGGCAGCCAAGCGUUCAUAGCGAC
rnacentral:ncRNA from 2 species